UACGAAGGGGGCUAGCGUUGCUCGGAAUCACUGGGCGUAAAGGGUGCGUAGGCGGGUCUUUUAAGUCAGGGGUGAAAUCCUGGAGCUCAACUCCAGAACUGCCUUUGAUACUGAAGAUCUUGAGUUCGGGAGAGGUGAGUGGAACUCCGAGUGUAGAGGUGAAAUUCGUAGAUAUUCGGAGGAACACCAGUGGCGAAGGCGGCUCACUGGCUCGGUACUGACGCUGAGGUGCGAAAGCGUGGGGAGCAAACAGG
rnacentral:rRNA from 1 species